ensembl:lncRNA
GCCAGGCCCCGCCCCCAAGCAACCAACUGUGAGCAAGGGUUAGUGAGGCAAUGCAAUCAACAGUCAGGGAGUGGUGGUUGUCAGCCAGAGAGUGAGGAAGCAUCUACUGAGAACCUGGUUAAACUCCACAAAAGCGGGAAUCACUUCUAUGCCUGGGUUCUCCUGGAGUUUUAAUUGUCAGUCUUCUCCACACGGAGUUUCCAGUAAUUUGUCAAUUACAGUUUAGGUGUUCCCACCACAGCACUGGUUUCCAUGGUGUUUUCACUCCUGGGCCUCUGUUCAGGGCUGAUUUUCAGGAGCCGAUGGUAUCAGAUGCAAAGACAAGAAGAUAAUUUCACUGCGAUUUUGAUAGUGUUCACAAGGGAUCUUGGAGGCUCCUGACACUACCUGGUAGUUGAUGGGAAGGACGGUGGCUGAUAUGAAAUAUCUGGAGGUCCCUUCAUCUGAUCAGUGGGUUUCUCAUUGUCUAAUGAAGAGAUAUGGAAAUCACUCAGGUGGGGGCAGUCCUGAAGCCACUGUUGACCUGCCUCUCCGAAUGUGGUCACCUGCAAUCUGCUUAGAAAUGCACAGUCUUGGGCCCCUCUUCCUGAUCGUCUGAAUCAAAACUCAGGAGGUGGAGUCAGCAAUCUGGGACCUGUUAGGUCCUCUGGUCAGAGCUCUACACUGAAUCACACCAAGCAAUUCCCAGCCUUCUUCUCCACAACUUGCCUUCUCUUCUCAAGCAACUACUGAGAGUAACAGGAAACACCAAUCUGGCAUGACACCAACCAAAAUGAAGUAAAAUACUAUUUUAUUAUGUAAUGGCAAUACCACGUAGGGGGACGUUUCUCCCUAAAAUCACAGAGAUGGAUGGUUUCGUGAAGAUUAGUGUGGCAUGGACUAGACUGGCCAGAAUAAUUUCAGCACUAGCAUAUAAGGAAUCAGAGAGGAAAACAUCAUCCUUGUCUCCAUUCUGCUCCCUACCACUUGGGGUGGGGAGGGGGAAUCAGAUCAGCUUGGCUGUUCAUAAAAGAAGCAGGCCCAGAGUUAUUUCAGUGCGUGGGAAUGGACAUGGGAUAAACUGAAACAAUAAACAACUUGAAAGCUUAAGAAAAUAAAGGCAAGGGAGAGAGAGAGCACCAUCCAAGCUUGAGUUCUGCAACCCUGUCGUAGUUCUAAACAAAUUCAAGCAGAUUGCUUUCUUGCUGGAGUUCUAGUAAAAUGGAUCUUGCCACUGGCAGCCAGUUCAGAGCGCUUGGCCGCAUUUUUGUUUUUUUUCUUGUCUUUUGGCUUAUAGCCAUGUGUCAUUAGUGACCUGUUUUCACUGCAGUGAGAUCAGCCAUGUCUGCAGGCCCCUGAAUCAGCAGAUUCUCCUCUGUUCACUAACUCCAGGCUGGCAAAGCUGAUACCAGUGUAACAGAAAGUGCCACCCCUGCACUCUGCUGAGAGUUGGGGAGGGCACCAUUUUGUUACAAUGUCGGCUUUGACCCGAGGAUGCCCUGAGAGCCCAGCUGUCAUGUCUCCUCAACAUAAGCAGCUGAACUUGGAAUUAUCUUGGCCUAGUCAUUAAUCAGGACUGAAAAUAGCCCCAGUAGACCUGGGCUUUGCUUAAUUCCUACCCACGUGGGAAAGGUAGUUUUUAAGAAAUAAUCUAAUUGCAAGAGCAUAUUUUUUAAAGGCUUUGCACCACAAUAAUAUCCAAAAAUAAUAAUUAAUAAUAAUAAUAAUUAUCCAACACCCUAGUUUGGGAGACAAUUUACAGUUAAUCUGGCUCUCUAAAAAAACAAAACAGUGUAGUCUUUUGAACUGCACAUUGAUUUGAAAUGAUCCAUUUUGGGUGACUAUUAAAAGGAGCCAGAAAUUGUGCUCGGAAUCUUCUAAGAAUACCCUCCAACACAAAUUAACGGAAAGAAAAUAACCAUUGGUUAAAAGCUCUGUAAGAGAGCCUGUUGCCAGGCAGAUUAGACAAUGAGCGGAAUUCCAUAAGGGGGCGCUCUCUCCACGCGUCCUUCAAGCCAAGGGCUCUGCGUUUCUCAGCCCAUAGGCUGCUGUUGGCUUUGCCCUCGAGCAGCAGCGUGCUCCUCCUAAGAGCAAAUGCUCAGUGCCCUAAAGAAUACUGCUUCUGUGAUCACUUUCUGGCUGAGAUCGUCAGGCAAAUCUCUCUGCGAUAUCAGAGAAGCAAUUUCAAAUGAAGAGAAGUCAAGCAAAACAUUCAAAAUAAAAGGAA